GCAUUGCAUUUCAAUUCUUGGCAGGUGCAAAAAUGACAAGCUUAAGCAGUAUCCCUAAGACUUACAAACCGGGAUCAGAAAUGGAGUUUUGUGGACCACUUCGCCCCCUAUACUCCAAAGGCAUCUGGGUAGGAGAUAAUCCUUUACAAAAUCCGUUUUCGUUAAUGUUGGCGCAAACCCUCCUCAUCGUCAUCACGUCCAGGGUGCUCUAUUUUUUCCUGAGGCCUCUAGGACAAACCAAGCUGGUCUGCAGCCUCCUGGUUUGUUUUCCCUAUUUGUCUUUUUUUUUCCGUGGGUGGCAAGCAACCUAAUUGAUGAAAUGCCUAAAGUGCCUCAAACAGCUGAUUUGUAGGCAAAGAGCCACAGGCCUGUUAGAUUUUACUUUUCGUUUUUACUCCUGUCAUAUUUCUUGUCUUCCAUCAACUUCUUCAUCAUUCGUUUCUCUCCCAUAUACUUUCCUUCAUCCCUAGCACAUGAAAUAAAAGAUAAAAACGAAACAAUUCAGUUAAUCAUAAUUUGAAAGACAUUUUCUUGAUAUAAUUAUGAUUGAAAAGUCCUUACCCAUGUUCUUAACUGAUUAACUCACGUGUUUCAUGACCUGCAGAAGCAAACGUGCAUUAUACUCUGAACUGAUUCCAUCUUUUGGUUGAUUUUU
rnacentral:lncRNA from 1 species